CAAAGGGGGGACCAGCUCCAUAUUAAUGCCCAUGAUUUUGGAAUGAGAUGUUUGACGAGCAGGUGUCCACAUACUUUUGGUCAUGUAGUGUAGUUUGUCAAAAGAAGGUGACAGUUGUUGUAUUCCUUGACUGUCUGUAGUGUAACUCCUUCCAAACCCACCUAUCAAGAGGUGCUGACUGAUGUGGAGGAGAGGAGCCACAAAAGGCAACAGGAAUACAACACGUAAAAUACACACACACACACACACACACACACACACACACAGGCGCAGAAAUACAACAUAAGCAAGACACAGAUAGCUUCCCCAAUAAUAUUACAUGACCAUUACAGUAUAAGAUGUCUGACAGCUCUCCUCUACUCCAUAUCCAUCCCUGUAGGUUCUGCCAGCAGACGAAACAGGAGAUAGCUGACAUCCACAGAGAUCGACUCAUCCACAACAUGGAACUCAACAGGAUGAAGAAAGAGAUUUUCAGUGACCGAAUGGAGGUGAAGAUCGCCAGCGAGGGAAUCAUGAAUAAAUGGAACCACCCCCCGUACCGCCAGCGUCUGCAGAAGGGAGAGGGGAAAGAGAGGAAAGAGGACUCAGAGGAGGUGAAGAAUACAAACCAACCUUCUGUUUCUCCAGAGAACCAAAAGACAGCUGGACAAUGACACUGCAACUUUCAGCACAGUGUCUCCCUCUCUCUCUCUCUUUCUCUUUAUGCCACUCAGAUCUACAGAACAUGAUGUCAGUGUUUUGUGCUACAUUAAUAUAUAUUUUACAUUUGUUUUCAUUGAAAUUCACCCAGAUGAUUUAAAUGCCAAUCUUCACACUUCACUAUCUAAAUCGCACUGUGAUUAUUUCCCUUCAGUCUGAUCUCCCUUUCUCAGACGCUGACUUGAAACAGUGUGUGUGUGUGUCGGGCCAGAGCAGGGCCAGUGUGUUUUAUGACAGGCUCAUGUCCUGCCUGAGUGAAGUCAUGAAGGCUCAUUACAGAAACAUAUUACCUCUCAGAGACUCACAGCACACCAGAGAAUAGAGAGAGAGAGAGAGAGAGAGAGUGUGUGUGUGUGUGUGUGUGUGUGUGUGUGUGUGUGUGUGUGUGUGUGUGUGUGUGUGUGUCAGAAGAAGAAAACAAAUCUACAGUAAAAUGAAUGAUACAUACAGCAAACAAAAAAAGUUAUAAAAAAAUACAAUGCUAGAGCUUGAGACUAAGGUUCUAUCUGCAAAAAGAUCAUUCUGAGAUAACUGGCUUUAAAGUUCCGAACCCUCAUUGGUUUGAAUAGUGUCAGCAAUUUUGAUAUUGUAUUAUUUUGAACUUAACAUGAAAUGGGGGUAUUUAAUGUUCUAUACAGGUAGAGAACAUUGAACAGAACAAGGCUAUGUCAAUAACUACAUUCUGACUAAAAUGCAGAUAGAACCUUCUAGUCCCAACAAUGACUUGUGAAAAGUAUUUUUUUAGAAUUUGAGUUCUUUCCACGUUCAUCUCAUUCCUGGUUCUGAGAAGCUAUGCCAUUCUCCUCUGGUUCUGAGAAGCUGUGACAUUCUCCUCUGGUUCUGAGAAGCUGUGACAUUCUCCUCUGGUUCUGAGAAGCUAUGACAUUCUCCUCUGGUUCUGAGAAGCUGUGACAUUCUCCCCUGGUUCUGAGAAGCUGUGACAUUCUCCUCUGGUUCUGAGAAGCUAUGACAUUCUCCUCUGGUUCUGAGAAGCUGUGACAUUCUCCUCUGGUUCUGAGAAGCUAUGACAUUCUCCUCUGGUUCUGAGAAGCUGUGACAUUCUCCUCUGGUUCUGAGAAGCUAUGACAUUCUCCUCUGGUUCUGAGAAGCUAUGCCAUUCUCCUCUGGUUCUGAGAAGCUGUGACAUUCUCCUCUGGUUCUGAGAAGCUAUGACAUUCUCCUCUGGUUCUGAGAAGUUGUGACAUUCUCCUCUGGUUAUGAGAAGCUGUGACGUUAUCCUCUGGUUCUGAGAAGCUGUGACAUUCUCCUCUGGUUCUGAGAAGCUGUGACAUUCUCCUCUGGUUCUGAGAAGCUGUGACAUUCUCCUCUGGUUCUGAGAAGCUGUGACAUUCUCCUCUGGUUCUGAGAAGCUAUGACAUUCUCCUCUGGUUCUGAGAAGUUAUGACAUUCUCCUCUGGUUCUGAGAAGCUGUGACGUUAUCCUCUGGUUCUGAGAAGCUGUGACAUUCUCCUCUGGUUCUGAGAAGCUGUGACAUUCUCCUCUGGUUCUGAGAAGCUGUGACAUUCUCCUCUGGUUCUGAGAAGCUAUGACAUUCUCCUCUGGUUCUGAGAAGCUAUGACAUUCUCCUCUGGUUCUGAGAAGCUGUGACAUUCUCCUCUGGUUCUGAGAAGCUGUGAAGUUUUCCUCUGGUUCUGAGAAGCUGUGACAUUCUCCUCUGGUUCUGAGAAGCUGUGACAUUCUCCCCUGGUUCUAAGAAGCUGUGACAUUCUCCUCUGGUUCUGAGAAGCUGUGACAUUCUCCUCUGGUUCUGAGAAGCUGUGACAUUCUCCUCUGGUUCUGAGAAGCUGUGACGUUCUCCUCUGGUUCUGAGAAUUUGUGACAUUCUCCUCUGGUUCUGAGAAUUUGUGACAUUCUCCUCUGGUUCUGAGAAGCUGUGACGUUCUCCUCUGGUUCUGAGAAACUGUGACGUUCUCCUCUGGUUCUGAGAAGCUGUGACAUUCUCCUCUGGUUCUGAGAAGCUGUGACGUUCUCCUCUGGUUCUGAGAAGCUAUGACAUUCUCCUCUGGUUCUGAGAAGCUGUGACAUUCUCCUCUGGUUCUGAGAAGCUGUGCCAUUCUCCUCUGGUUCUGAGAAGCUGUGACGUUCUCCUCUGGUUCUGAGAAGCUGUGACAUUCUCCUCUGGUUCUGAGAAGCUGUGACAUUCUCCUCUGGUUCUGAGAAGCUGUGAUGUUCUCCUCUGGUUCUGAGAAGCUGUGACAUUCUCCUCUGGUUCUGAGAAGCUGUGACAUUCUCCUCUGGUUCUGAGAAGCUAUGACAUUCUCCUCUGGUUCUGAGAAGCUAUGACAUUCUCCUCUGGUUCUGAGAAGCUAUGACAUUCUCCUCUGGUUCUGAGAAGCUGUGACAUUCUCCUGUGGUUGUGAGAAGCUGUGACAUUCUCAUCUGGUUCUGAGAAGCUGUGACAUUCUCCUCUGGUUCUGAGAAGCUGUGACAUUCUUCUCUGGUUCUGAGAAGCUGUGACAUUCUCCUGUGGUUCUGAGAAGCUGGGACAUUCUCCUCUGGUUCUCACCAUGUGAUGUGUUGACUGCCCCGUGAGAUAUCAAUAACUGUGCUUUGUCAGAAGUUUAUACUCCCCAGUGUUUCUGUUUCAGGAUCCCUAGAACACACAC
ensembl:lncRNA